UACGUAGGUGGCAAGCGUUGUCCGGAAUUAUUGGGCGUAAAGCGCACGUAGGCGGUUCGUUAAGUCGGAUGUGAAAGCCCUCGGCUCAACUGAGGAAGUGCACCCGAAACUGGCGAGCUUGAGUACGAAAGAGGAUCGCGGAAUUCCCGGUGUAGAGGUGAAAUUCGUAGAUAUCGGGAGGAACACCGGUGGCGAAGGCGGCGAUCUGGGUCGAUACUGACGCUGAGGUGCGAAAGCGUGGGGAGCAAACAGGG
rnacentral:rRNA from 1 species